CAGCUUCUGAUUGGCUGGAGGGACGUGCGCUGCAUUCAGCCGGUUAGGAAAGUCGAAGUGUAAGCUCUGAGAGUUAAACGGGCAUCUGGUCGUCGGCAGUGCUAUCCUGAAGGUGUCUUUUCAAGUUACACCAUAAAGUUACACCAUAUAUACGAGGUCGUGGAUCAGUUUCCGGUGCAGCAAGGACAAGUCGGAAAUACUUUUAUAUUUCCACUCUGAGGAUAUUACGAGAACCACUUUUAAGACAAAUUAGUCUCAAAAUCUGUUAUCAGGAGACACGGAAGUGGGAGAGCGUAAGAGUUCCUUAUGGUUAUUAGAGAUUUAAGUACUUUUGAUGCUGGAAAGUACCUCAGAUACUGGAAAGGACUUCGAAAUGAUUGAACAAGAGAUUCAGAAAAAUACUUCGAAAUGCUAAAAGAUCCUCGAAGAAAUGCAUGAAAUACUAAAAUGCCGGAUGCUGGAAAGUACUUCAAGAGAUGAUGGAAAGUACUUCGAAAUGCUACUUCAACUCCCUCCUUUCACUGUCUUAGAGGAGGAUCUGUCUCGAUGUCGUUGACGAAACCUUGGGAAAAGCCGCCUCCUGAUUGGCUGGGAGGAAGUUUAUUAUUCAACAGGCUAGAAUAAGUAGAUUAAGCUUGGAGUAGAUCCUUCAUUUGUUGGUUGGCAGCAGGAUCCAUAGAGAGAGGGGUCAACUAACGCGCAGAUAUGGUUGGGUCAGGGCUGGGCGACCGAGAUCACGUGAUUCCCCGCUGCUCAGUCUAGUAUAUCUUCGGGGGCGCAUUUGAACGAAAAUAUCGAAAUAAAAUGU